rnacentral:rRNA from 1 species
AGGAUUGAAAUGAAGGAACUCUGAUGCAGCAACGCCGCGUGAGGGAAGAAGGUUUUCGGAUUGUAAACCUCUGUUUUUAGUGAAGAAUAAAUGACGGUAGCUAAAGAGGAAGCCACGGCUAACUACGUGCCAGCAGCCGCGGUAAUACGUAGGUGGCAAGCGUUGUCCGGAUUUACUGGGUGUAAAGGGUGCGCAGGCGGGACUGCAAGUUGGAUGUGAAAAUCCGAGGCUCAACCUCGGAACUGCAUCCAAAACUGUGGUUCUUGAGUGGAGCAGAGGUAAGCGGAAUUCCGAGUGUAGCGGUGAAAUGCGUAGAUAUUCGGAGGAACACCAGUGGCGAAGGCGGCUUACUGGGCUCUAACUGACGCUGAGGCACGAAAGUGUGGGUAGCAAACAGGAUUAGAUACCCU